CUUCAGUUACGAGUUGCUCAGCGGACUGUGGAGUGACUGAACUAUACCCAUUCCCGUCAUGAUGCACACCCCUGAGGUUCCUCACCACACCUGUGUUCUGAUUAGAGGCAAAAUAAAUGACAUUCAAAACUUCCACUAAGGUACUAUAAGCUUUUGUGGUGAGAUGGCAUCUGGUUUCUUUCUACAAGGAAAGUUUAGCACACAGCACAGUCCUUGAAACAUUGGAUUGGUUUGAUGAGCCUACCUGGAAUAGGUAUGUAAAACCUCCAGCAUAUGCUUCAUCUCUUUGAGUCAUAUCUGUGGAUGUGUAUCCACUUCUGCUUUUCUUGUUGUUAACUUAGAGUGGAGUUUGUUCUGAAGAGUAAAAUUCAUGUGUCGAAGGUGACUAUGUGUUUACAGUAUGAUCUACAAGACUCCUUCAUUUUCUUUGUAAUGUGAUAAAUACAUAUUAAGAGCAUUCAUUCCAGGAGAGAAGGGAAAUCCCAUGCUCGUAUGGUUCUGAAAAUAAUAAGAUUUAAUCUACAACUUGUGAAACUCAAGUGUGUAAAAUAUGAUGAUUCCCUGGCAUGUUUAUAAGAACGGCAUCUGUGGCUCAAAAGUCUAACAGGAAGAUAGAAACUUCUUUUUUUUUUUUCCAAAAUUAAUCCAGGCUUAGGAAAAACUGAGUACCAAAUUAUGAAAUGACUGCACAUGGGAAUUAAUUAAUGAUUCUUUGAUCUCUUAGGUUGUAGGAUAAGUACUCCCUUGGUGUAUCAUAUGACAUAAAAAAAUACGGUAUUUGACAGUUUUAUUAAUGAAUUCUCUUGAAGGAAAUAUUCUGAAAUUAGAUUCUCAUAAGAUAUAAGUCAUGUAGCUCCUGAUUUAACUCAGUUCAGACUCUUUGAUGAGUGCUGUGUGUGUGGUUGUGGGUGUGGGGGGGGAUGGGUGUGUUAUCACUAAGGGAUACUUUAUUAUUUGACUCAUUGCUUUGUUGUAUUCAACUUUUGAAAUAUUAUUGGGAAUAUGGUAGGCUCGUUGAAAUUCUGGUAUGUAUUUAGAGAAGUGUCUGAUCUAUAUAAAUUGUAUUUUCAAAAGCAAGACUCUAUGUAACAACUCCCCUGUCCACCCCCUCCCCUCAAAAAUGUCUACUGAAAACCACAUUUGGUAAGUGGCACAGACAGACUUGAGACUUAAUCAGAUAUAAAACCUAGCUUUACUCCUUAACCUAUGACCUUGAAAAAAAAAUGUUAUGCUUCCUUAGAAAGAGGUGGGGAGGGAGAGGAUGGAAGAAGGGAAAAAAAAUAAAUCCACAAUUACAAUGCACCAAAUUUACCAGGUCACCUUUCUUAUUAAUGAGGUAUCAAGGAAUUAAUGGAUAUGUUUCUAAGAGUCUCCAGAGAAUUUCAUUCCUACAUUCUGUGAGAGUCUGAAAUCCAUAAUUAGAGUUUAACCUCCCUGAUUUAAGGUCGAAGUUGCAACUGGUCACCUGCACAUUACAGCUAUCUUAGGUUUUUAUUUUACAGGGGUUGGUUUUUUCCUUUUUGGGUUUUUUUUGGCCUGUACAAAUUAAUACACAUGUGAUAUAAAAAAAUUGCCAAAUCAAAAAACUCAAGAGACUUCACAUAAAUCUUGGCUUUCUUUCUCUGCAAAUGGCACUACAGUUAAAGUAAUUGCUGGUGCCAAAAUUCUAGUUGUCAUACAAAUUUCCUCCAUCUUGGAGUUCCCUUUGUGGGUCAGUGGGUUAAGGUUCUGGUGUUGCCACUGCUUCGGCUCUGGUUACAGCUGUGGCCAGGUUCCGCCCCUGGCCUGGGAACUUCCGCAUUCCUGGAACUUUUGGGUGUGCCCCACGCAAAAAAAUUACUUACCUCUUCUUAACUUCUCUACAUCUAACCCAUCAAUUUCUCCAAAGCCUUGAUCCAACCUAGUGGUUCUCAACCUCAAUAUGAAAAGAUGAUUAUCUGGUUGCUCAGGUUGCACCUAGAAAAUUAAUUAAAUUCACCACUUUCUAAUAUUAUCAGUCUUCUACCAUUGUCCCUAUGUCACCGCAUCAUUUCUAUUCUAGUCCCUGUUCAAUCCUAUCUCCACCCAACAGCCAGAGAAACUGUUAUGAAUAGAAACUUGUGGGUUCAAUGCCUGCGUAAACUCUUCAAUAAUAGUAGCAGUAAUGGUAACAACUGGUGAUCAUUGAUACCUUGGUUGAGUAAAGAACCCAAGUUCAGGUUUUAUAGAACCCAAGUUCAGGUUCAAGUCAUGGUGGCAUUAGGUUUCAGGAACAGAUGGAGGAAAGGGCACAAAGGAGGUGACUGCAGAUACCAAGGAAAGUUUAUUCCAUUUCCACAUGGGUCCUGUAGCCUAAUCUGACAAUACCUUCUCCUUGCCUGCUCCUCCAGGCAGUGACCCAUAGGCUAAAAGUUUUACUGACUUCUCCUACAAGUUGCUGCCCAAGCAGUGUCCUGAUGUCAUACUGCCAUCAGGAGCAAAGGGAUUUAAUAGUUUGGCAGUGACAUUAUUAUAAGAUUCAUGUUACAGCACAGCUACCAAUGUGUUUUAAAUGUCACUCCUUCAUAGUUGCAUGAUUCACCCAGCAAAAUAAGUUGAUACUGGUAAAUUUUUAGGCGGGAUAACCAAACUAUGGAUGUGUGUUUGACGUUGGUAGUUAGACCUGGGAUCAUUUCUCCUUCCUCUCAGACAUAGAGUUUUUCCUUUUCAACAAUGAAUAACGUAUAUCAGGUUAUUUCUUUGAGCCGAAGUGGAGGGAUUUUCUUCUCAUGAUAACUGUAUAGUGACUAUGUAGACCAUAGAGGUAGAUACUGAAGUCUUUCCUUUUAGACUUCAGCCACCCCAUAACUGGAGAGAGUGCACGUGCCAUCGGAAGGGAGGAAGAUAAGAUAUCAUCAGAAAGUUUUCAUUAAGGACACCCUCUGACACACUGUGAUGUUAUUUUAUUCAGAGUUUAAAAAUAAAUCACUAAAUACAAACUGCUUUGAAGCUGAGUAGAAACUUUGCGUCCUUGUCGGCACCCCUUGUGCGCGGCCUAAUCAGCUUUAAUUUCACAGUGGUGACAAUUUUUUUCUUUUUAUAAUAAUUAAUUGUUCUUUUUUUCAUUUUUUAAAGUUGUAUUGAAGUAUCGUUGAUCAAUAAGGUUGUGAUCAUUUCUGCUGUACAACAAAGUGAUUCAGUGAUGCAUGUACACACAUCCAUUCUUUUUUCAGAUUCUUUUCCCAUGUGGAUUAUCACAGACUAUUGGGUAGAGUUCCCUGUGCUCUAUAACGUGUCCCUGUUGGCCAGUCAUUCCAUAUGCCUCAGUGUGCAUAUACCAAUCCCAAACCAAUAUAAAACCUUUGGUGUUUCACUACUGACAUUGUGAAAAGCUCAAGGAGCUGUGUUAAGACAAAAAUGUGCCUCAGAUGUUCAGGUAAUGGAAACUAAUAAAGAUGUUGUAAACUCAGUUACCUAGGUAUUGAAUUAAUGCUUCAGGCAUAGCUCUCUCCUUUACCUAAGUGGGUCUGUUUACCCAAAUAAUUUGUCUGCGCAGAGCCAUCCUACACUUAAGGAGACAGUUGAUGUUUUCAGCUCUCUCUGGAGUAUUUAUCCUGGGGGACAAAUGGAGAACAAAAUACAUGGAGAGGCCAGGCACACAUACACUGGGCAUCCUGGACCCAGUACAGGAUAGUGCUUAUUAAUGAGAUGCCUUUGUAUUUCCUUUGGGGACCAGGAUGGCUUGGCCUUGUGUACAAUUCUUCUCUGUGGUGAAUAGAGUUAUAAAAAGACCACAGAUUCUUUUCAUGCCAUUUUAGGAAUUUCUUUGAAAGGAUUCAAGCAGUGAAGCACAUUAUGUUUUAAGGUUCUGCAUUAGUAUAGGCAAAGCUUUUCCAAUAAGAUAAAGCCAUUUUUCUAAAUUCUUUAUGUCACUGAGUGCCCAGAAUCUGGACAGAGGGAAAUUAAAAUCUCUCUGAAAUCCACCAUAUUGCCACCACCAUAUGAAAUAGCUAUUGAGAGGGAAACUAAUAGUGUCUUAAAUGAACCUUGGGUUAAACAUACAUCCCUUUGCAUUUUCCAGUAUUGUUUUUCACUUACCUUUAACUCCUUUUCAAUCAGAAAAGUUCCCUAAGUUGAUUAGGAUUCAUUUUUAAAAAUCUAAUAUAAAAACGAGUACAUUUUUAUUAGAGGGAAGGCACGAUACAGAUGCUGAGUUGAUUGUGAGGAUUUGUAUUACGUUAUAUUAAUGAAUCAAAUGGCUCCCCAAAUAUACAUGUUUGUCAUAGGGAUUUACUGUUCUAUCAGACUUUUUCUUAUUCCCGUCAUUACUCUAGCACUUUGUGUUGACUUUUGAGAGUGAACAUUUUGGAACAAAAGAUAUAUUCUUCUAGGAUCCUCCAUGCUUGGACCACAUCAGACCUGAGUAAAUAUUUGUGAGAUGAAUGAUGAAUAAUUCAAAUGCAUUUUAAUUUUAGACACAAGCAGAUGAAAUUAUACCAAAGCUAGGAACUGAUUUAGCUGCUGAACUAGAUAUAUAAAAUAAUGAUCAAUAAAAAUGGUAAUUCCUCAGAUCAGAGACUAUGUCUGGUGUGCUCUGUUGCAAGCAGAGAGAUGGGCAUCAUUUUUAAAGGAUUUGGACAAAGUCAUAGGCCAGCAAAUCUAAUAUUUUGGUGAGCAGCUCAUCCUGAUUUCAUUAAGGCCUGGCUGUUCACUUCCCUCUUCUCCACCAGUGUUUUCAUCUUUAAAUUUUUUUUCUGCCAUAUUAGGGGGUGUUCUAGUCUAAAGACUCCUGAUUGAAGUGCCUUAUCUUUAAAAACUUUGCUAAGGGCAUGUGGGACAUUAAGAGGUAAAAUGCUACUGUGGCUCUGUAAGUAAUAGUCUUUUCAGAAACAGCUGCACUUGUGAAUAACUGAAUAAAGUCUAAUGUUGUCCAAGCAGGUUAUAUGCUACCCAAGUAAACCUCUAGGAAGUACUUGAGUUGUUUCUGUGCCCCCUUCUACUCAUCUGUUAAAUCUCUGACUUUUCUUGGCAAAGCUCAAACCCAAUUAAAGUCCAUAUGCUUUACAGUGCUUCACAUCUGCAUUUUAGAAAAAGAGCAGAUGACCCACAUGGAUGUUGGGUCUUAUCAGCCAACAGUAAUAUAAGCCUUUCAUACAUAAAAUUCUUUUUCUCAGCAGUUGUGAAAUUUCACUUUGAAAUUAGUUUUCAUUCUUAGUAUAACAACAUACUAUGUCUCAAGGAAUAAGUGAUUUCAUAUAUUUAGGAGCCCUAAACUAUAUUCCCAUAUUGGAGAGAGAUUUAAAGCAAAUUGGUUUAUUUCAUCUGAAUAGUAAUAAUAUAAUCAAUGAUAGCUGUGAAAUUAGGAACUUCCCCAUGUUUAACUUAGCCAUCUUAAUGUUCAAAUAUAUUUUUCUUUACAUUAUUAAUUUUUUCUUCCUUUCAACAUUUCCAUCCUCUACUGUUUACUUGUCUUUACUGAUAUGUCUUACUCUGGUUAAAAAAAAAAUACUCUACAUAGGUUAUAACAAGAAUAAAACAAUAAUUUUAAAUGGAAUAGAAAAUUAAAGCGGGACAAAUAUAAAUAAAACUGUAGAAUAAGAGAGAAAUAAGUAUCAGUCACAAUUAGGCAAAUCCUAAAGACCAGCCUUUGCUGCUGUUGAUCAUCAGACUUUAAGUUUGCUCGGGGAUAAUGCAAAAUUUUUGUGAGGCAGUUCUUUUGUCUGAAAAAAAAAAAAAGAUUUGCCUAACAUUAAAAUACUCCUUCUGUAAGAAAAGAAAUUAGGAGUUCCCAUCAUGGCUCAGUGGUUAACAAAUCGACUAGGAACCAUGAGGUUGCCGUUGCGGGUUCGAUCCCUGGACUCGCUCAGUGGGUUGAGGAUCCGGCGUUGCCGUGAGCUGUGGUAUAGGUCGCAGAUGCAGCUCGGAUCCCGAGUUGCUGUGGCUCUGGCAUAGGCCAGUGGCUACAGCUCCAAUUAGGCCCCUAGCCUGGGAACCUCCAUGUGCCACAGGAGCGGCCCUGGAAAAGACAAAAA
rnacentral:lncRNA from 1 species